rnacentral:tRNA from 1 species
GGAGAUGUGGCCGAGUGGUCGAAGGCACACCCCUGCUAAGGGUGCAGGCCCCUAAAGGGUCUCGAGGGUUCGAAUCCCUUCGUCUCCGCCA